rnacentral:tRNA from 1 species
ACCGAGAUAGCUCAGUUGGGAGAGCGUUAGACUAUAGAUCGAAAGGUCCCUGGUUCGAUCCCAGGUUCCGACA